UUAUUGGAGAGUUUGAUCCUGGCUCAGGACGAACGCUGGCGGCAUGCCUAAUACAUGCAAGUCGAGCGGA
rnacentral:ncRNA from 2 species